UUGCGUGCCCAGCUCCAUUUGCCCAGGCUGCCCGACUCUGCGCCCUGCUGCAGCUCCGGCCGGACCUCCGCGGCGCGUCAGUGUGAUUAGUUUAUCUCAGGAGGAGUUUUACCAGUCAGUGUUUAUGAGCCACCUGGGCACUGGCAGUUGCUGAAACAAAGCAGCUGAUCUGCACCUGUGGACAGGAGUAGGACCCUCAGCUGAGAUAACUGAAGUAAUUGAAAGAAAUAGAGAGACAUCUAGACACACUGGAAGACGUGCGGUAGGAUUUGGCCAACUAGCAGGCACAUUUAGUUGCACAAACAUAAAGGAAGUACACAGGACUCCCCAUCUGACACACAUUGGUACGAAGCACCUGAGAGGCAAGGGCUUCCUUCAGGUAUUCAUGUGUACCACCAACUGUACCCCAUGUGUACGGGACAUUUCCAGCCCUGCUGGCCUCCAGAAGCAGUUCAGACAGAGUUCUGGUCAGAAACAAAAGGAGG